AACGAACGCUGGCGGCAUGCCUAACACAUGCAAGUCGAACGAGACCUUCGGGCCUAGUGGCGCACGGGUGCGUAACGCGGGGGAACCUGCCCUUAGGUUCGGAAUAACUCCCCGAAAGGGGUGCUAAUACGGGAUAAUGUCUUCGGACCAAAGGUUUAUCGCCGUUGGAUGGGCCCGCGUUGGAUUAGCUAGUUGGUAGGGUAAAAGCCUACCAAGGCGACGAUCCAUAACUGGUUAGAGAGGAUGAUCCGCCACACUGGGACUGAGACACGGCCCAGACUCAUACGGGAGGCAGCAAAGGGGAAUAUUGGACAAGGGGCGAAAGCCUGAAACAGCAAUGCCGCGUAAGUGAUGAAGGGCUUAGGGUUGUAAAGGUAUUUUAACCGGGAUGAUAAUGACAGUACCGGGAGAAUAAGCCCCGGCUAACUCCGUG
rnacentral:rRNA from 1 species